rnacentral:tRNA from 1 species
GUUUCGAUAGGUUAAGUUAGACUUUUAGAUUCAUACUCUUUAGGUGGUUUUCUCGAUACU